AACGAACGCUGGCGGCAUGCUUAACACAUGCAGGUCGAACGCGUGGUCACGGUUCGCCGGGGCCAUGAGUGGCGCACGGGUGAGUAGCGCGUGGGAACCUGCCCUGUUGUGGGGGAUAACCGAGGGAAACCUCGGCUAAUACCGCAUAAGCCGGGUGUCUUGAGAGAGGCAUUCGGGAAAGAUUUAUCGCGACAGGAGGGGCCCGCGUCGGAUUAGCUGGUUGGUGGGGUAACGGCCUACCAAGGCGAUGAUCCGUAGCUGGUCUGAGAGGAUGAUCAGCCACACUGGGACUGAGACACGGCCCAGACUCCUACGGGAGGCAGCAGUGGGGAAUAUUGGACAAUGGGCGCAAGCCUGAUCCAGCAAUGCCGCGUGAGUGAGGAAGGCCUUAGGGUUGUAAAGCUCUUUCACCCGCGACGAUGAUGACGGUAGCGGGAGAAGAAGCCCCGGCUAACUUCGUGCCAGCCGCCGCUGUAAG
rnacentral:rRNA from 1 species